CCCCCCCCCCCCACACACACACACACACAAACAAAGAGGCGUUAGGCUGAGACGCUGAAAGUCCGGAUUUAAAGUGCAGAAAAUUAAGCCAUUGAAUCUGCCUGUCCAUGACGUAGUAAGACACACUAUGAGCUAGUAUGAUCCGACCAGACCUUACAUCAGCAUUGAGGAGUUGUCGGAGAAGAAAGAGGCUGAUUGAAGCGGGACAGAUGACAUGGAUCCAUCCUUCCACAGCCAGGAGCGCACCGACCUGUGUCCCACACUUCAUAUAAGACUGGAAGCUACACUGGAUCUCACAGCUACACACCACAGACGUCUACACACUGGAGAAGAUUCAG